AUAAAAUAAAAUUCAUAAUAUGAUCGCAUUAAAUAAUUUUCUUCUUGUUUUAGAACUACAAUUAUAUCAUUAUUUAUUUGACAUCCAUUUUUUAUACAAUGUACUGCUAAACCUGAAUUAUAGCACCUAGCUGCUCCAGACAGUCUUGCCUAUUGUGGACAGAAUUACUUACAAGAGAAGAAAUGGAAGCAAACUGCUUCACCAUCUUACUGUCUAGAAAUAUGCCAGCAACUCCAGCCUCCUUUACAUGUGAACCAGAAUUGCCAACUCUACAGUUGGAUGAGAAGCAAUCCCUAGAAGAAAUAUUUCAUGUGGCAAAAACAAACUGGAGGAAACAUAGUCACUACCUGAUUAUUUUCCAAUACAGGUGGAAGGCUAAAUACAAUAAAGUUUUACCUGUUAUCUUGAGGGGAUC
rnacentral:lncRNA from 1 species